AUACUUACCUGGACGGGGACUAUGGGUGAUCAAGAAGAAUCAUGGCCUAGGUUGGUGACCACCAUUGCAUUUGGGAGGGGUGCCCGCUUAACAUCUCCCCAAGUGGGAGAGUGUAUGUCAUAAUUUGUGGUAGAUGGGGUACGCGUUCGCGCGGCCCUCAC